rnacentral:rRNA from 1 species
AUUGAACGCUGGCGGCAGGCCUAACACAUGCAAGUCGAGCGAGAAAGCACUUCGGUGCGAGUAGAGCGGCGGACGGGUGAGUAACGCGUAGGAAUCUACCUGGUAGUGGGGGACAACUCGGGGAAACUCGAGCUAAUACCGCAUACGCCCUUCGGGGGAAAGCGGGGGAUCUUCGGACCUCGCGCUAUUGGAUGAGCCUGCGUCGGAUUAGCUUGUUGGUGAGGUAAAAGCUCACCAAGGCGACGAUCCGUAGCUGGUCUGAGAGGAUGAUCAGCCACACUGGGACUGAGACACGGCCCAGACUCCUACGGGAGGCAGCAGUGGGGAAUAUUGCGCAAUGGGGGCAACCCUGACGCAGCCAUGCCGCGUGUGUGAAGAAGGCCCUAGGGUUGUAAAGCACUUUCAAUAGGGAAAAAAGGCGUACGGUUAAUACCCGUGCGAGUUGAUAUUACCUAUACAAGAAGCACCGGCUAACUCCGUGCCAGCCGCCGCCGUAACAC